rnacentral:rRNA from 1 species
UGAGGAAUAUUGGUCAAUGGGCGCAAGCCUGAACCAGCCAUCCCGCGUGAAGGAAGAAGGCGCUAUGCGUUUUAAACUUCUUUUCCAGGGGGAGAAUUUUUCCGUCGUGACGGGAAUUGACGGUACUCUGGUACUAAGCAUCGUCUCACUCCGUGCCCGCAGCCGCGGUAAUACGUUGGAUGCGAUCUUUAUCCUGUUUUAUUUUGUUUAAAGGGUGCGUAGGCUGAUUGAUAAGUCAGU